UACGUAGGGGGCUAGCGUUGUCCGGAAUCAUUGGGCGUAAAGCGCGUGUAGGCGGUCCGGUAAGUCCGCUGUGAAAGUCGGGGGCUCAACCCUCGGAUGCCGGUGGAUACUGUCGGGCUUGAGUACGGAAGAGGCGAGUGGAAUUCCUGGUGUAGCGGUGAAAUGCGCAGAUAUCAGGAGGAACACCGGUGGCGAAGGCGGGACUCUGGGCCGAUACUGACGCUGAGGAGCGAAAGCGUGGGGAGCAAACGGG
rnacentral:rRNA from 1 species